AACGGCCAUACCAUGGCGGAUAUAACGGUUCUCGUUAGAUCACCGAAGUCAAACAUUAUUGGGCACGGUCAGUACUUGGGUGGGUGACCACCUGGGAACACUGCGUGCCGUU
rnacentral:rRNA from 1 species